GACGAACGCUGGCGGCGUGCCUAAUACAUGCAAGUUGAGCGCUGAAGGUUGGUACUUGUACCGACUGGAUGAGCAGCGAACGGGUGAGUAACGCGUGGGGAAUCUGCCUUUGAGCGGGGGACAACAUUUGGAAACGAAUGCUAAUACCGCAUAAAAACUUUAAACACAAGUUUUAAGUUUGAAAGAUGCAAUUGCAUCACUCAAAGAUGAUCCCGCGUUGUAUUAGCUAGUUGGUGAGGUAAAGGCUCACCAAGGCGAUGAUACAUAGCCGACCUGAGAGGGUGAUCGGCCACAUUGGGACUGAGACACGGCCCAAACUCCUACGGGAGGCAGCAGUAGGGAAUCUUCGGCAAUAGACGAAAGUCUGACCGAGCAACGCCGCGUGAGUGAAGAAGGUUUUCGGAUCGUAAAACUCUGUUGGUAGAGAAGAACGUUGGUGAGAGUGGAAAGCUCAUCAAGUGACGGUAACUACCCAGAAAGGGACGGCUAACUACGUG
rnacentral:rRNA from 1 species